UCCGUAGGUGGUUUGUCAAGUUAGCUGUAAAAGACCUGGGCUUAACCUGGGGGUGUGAGCUAAGACUGAUAGACUCGAGUAUAGGAGAGGGUAGUGGAAUUUCCGGUGUAGCGGUGAAAUGCGUAGAUAUCGGAAGGAACACCGGUGGCGAAGGCGUCUACCUGGCCUAAUACUGACACUGAGGGACGAAAGCGUGGGGAGCAAACA
rnacentral:rRNA from 1 species